rnacentral:rRNA from 1 species
AUGGCAUCUUCCUCCAGCUCCACCGCAGCCCUAAACACCCAAGUCACACAGAAACUCACCCGCCAAAACUAUAUCCUAUGGCGUGCCCAAAUCCUUCCUCAAGUUCGCAGCGCCGGCCUCUAUGGUCUCCUCGACGGCACUGAUCCUGAGCCGGCCAAACUUGUUUCUGUCAAGGACAAGGACGGGAAGGACAGCACCAUCACCAAUCCUGAGCACGCGAUCUGGGUCAGGCAAGACCAGCUCGUGCUCGGCUAUCUUCUGAACAAUCUGAUGAAAGAAGUGCUCGUACAGGUAGUACCAAUCCCCACCUCGCGCACUCUCUGGACUUACCUGGAAAACAUGUUCUCUUCAACCUCCCGCAGCCGCAUCAACAAUCUUCGGAUGUCCCUCACUAACACGCAGAAGGGAUCACAAGAUGUCGCCACCUACUUCACCUACAUGCAGUCGCUAGCUGAUGAGUUGGCAGCCGCUGGCAGACCGCUCGACGAUGAUGAACUCAUCUCCCACAUCCUCUCUGGGCUGGAUCUUGACUAUCAGCCGCUGAUCUCCGCCCUGGACGUCCGCACCGAGCCACUCUCCAUCGACCAUCUGUUUGCCCUGAUGUCCAACUUUGAUCAAAGGGUC